rnacentral:rRNA from 1 species
AGAGUUUGAUCCUGGCUCAGGACGAACGCUGGCGGCGCGCCUAACACAUGCAAGUCGAACGAGAGAGAGGGAGCUUGCUUCUUCGAUCGAGUGGCGAACGGGUGAGUAACGCGUGAGGAACCUGCCUCAAAGAGGGGGACAACAGUUGGAAACGACUGCUAAUACCGCAUAAGCCCACGGGUCGGCAUCGAUCUGAGGGAAAAGGAGCAAUCCGCUUUGAGAUGGCCUCGCGUCCGAUUAGCUGGUUGGUGAGGUAACGGCCCACCAAGGCGACGAUCGGUAGCCGGACUGAGAGGUUGAACGGCCACAUUGGGACUGAGACACGGCCCAGACUCCUACGGGAGGCAGCAGUGGGGAAUAUUGCACAAUGGGGGAAACCCUGAUGCAGCGACGCCGCGUGGAGGAAGAAGGUCUUCGGAUUGUAAACUCCUGUUGUUGAGGAAGAUAAUGACGGUACUCAACAAGGAAGUGACGGCUAACUACGUGCCAGCAGCCGCGGUAAAGCGUAGGUCACAAGCGUUGUCCGGAAUUACUGGGUGUAAAGGGAGCGCAGGCGGGAAGACAAGUUGGAAGUGAAAUCUAUGGGCUCAACCCAUAAACUGCUUUCAAAACUGUUUUUCUUGAGUAGUGCAGAGGUAGGCGGAAUUCCCGGUGUAGCGGUGGAAUGCGUAGAUAUCGGGAGGAACACCAGUGGCGGAGGCGGCCUGCUGGGCACCAACUGACGCUGAGGCUCGAAAGUGUGGGUAGCAAACAGGAUUAGAUACCCUGGUAGUCCACACCGUAAACGAUGAUUACUAGGUGUUGGAGGAUUGACCCCUUCAGUGCCGCAGUUAACACAAUAAGUAAUCCACCUGGGGAGUACGACCGCAAGGUUGAAACUCAAAGGAAUUGACGGGGGCCCGCACAAGCAGUGGAGUAUGUGGUUUAAUUCGACGCAACGCGAAGAACCUUACCAAGUCUUGACAUCCCUUGACGAACAUAGAAAUAUGUUUUCUCUUCGGAGCAAGGAGACAGGUGGUGCGUGGUUGUCGUCAGCUCGUGUCGUGAGAUGUUGGGUUAAGUCCCGCAACGAGCGCAACCCUUAUCGUCAGUAGCCAGCAGGUAAAGCUGGGCACUCUGGCGAGACUGCCGGAGAUAAUCCGGAGGAAGGUGGGGAUGACGUCAAAUCAUCAUGCCCCUUAUGAUCUGGGCUACACACGUGCUACAAUGGCGUUUAACAAAGAGAAGCGAAGCUGUGAGGCAGAGCAAAUCUCAAAAACAACGUCUCAGUUCGGAUUGUAGUCUGCAACUCGACUACAUGAAGCUGGAAUCGCUAGUAAUCGCGAAUCAGAAUGUCGCGGUGAAUACGUUCCCGGGUCUUGUACACACCGCCCGUCACACCAUGGGAGUUGAUAACGCCCGAAGUCAGUGACCCAACUGUAAAGAGGGAGCUGCCGAAGGCGGGAUCGAUAACUGGGGUGAAGUCGUAACAAGGU